AGCUUUGCGCAGUGGCGGUAUCGUAGCCAGUGAGGUUUAUCCGAGGUGUGAUUAUUGCUAAUUGAAAACUUUUCCCAAUACCCCACCAUGACGACUUGAAAUAUAGUUGGCGUUGGCAAUUUUUGGCAGUCUCUACGGGGA
rnacentral:snRNA from 1 species